CCGAGUUUACAACUCCCAAACCCCUGUGAACAUACCAUAUACGUUGCCUCGGCGGAUCAGCCCGGCGCCCUCGCGGCCCGGAAACAGGGACGGCCCGCCGGAGGACCCCUAAACUCUAUGUCUUUAGUGGUACUCUCUGAGUGAAACAUAACAAAUAAAUCA
rnacentral:misc_RNA from 1 species